CCUCGCUGCCCCCCUCCUCCCCCCCGGGGUCGCCGACCCCCCUGCUCAUCGCCCUGCCCGCCGCCGCCGCCCCUGCUGGGCAGCAAGAGCCGCAAGUCGUCCAAGAGCUCCAAGGACCGCGACCGACGGAGACGCAAGGAGGGCAAGGGCGGGGGCGACAAGGAGGAGAAGAGGAAGAAGAGCGUGGCGGCGGCGGCGACGAAGGAGAAGGCCAAGGAGAAGGCCAAGGGGGAGGGGAGUCGGGACAAGAGCCGGGAGCGGGGCCGCAGGGCUGCGGACGGGAGGGGGCGGGGCCCCGAGGAGGCCGGGGGCCGACCGAGGAGCAGCAGCAGCAACAGCCGCAAGAGGAAGAAGAGGAGGCACAGCAGCCCCGAGACGUCGCGCUCGCACAACUCGUCGGGGCGCGGUGCCCACAGCCGGCGCUCGUUCUCCAGCCCCUCGGAGGAGCGACCGAGGGAGAGGGACCGGGAGAGGGAGAGGGACCACGACCGGGACAGGGACCACGACCGGGACAGGGACCACGACCGGGACAGGGACAGGGAGCGGGAGAGGGAGCGGGAACGAGACCGAGACAAGGAGAGGGACCGAGACCGAGGGCGGAGCGGGGACCGCGGCCGCCGCGCCAAAGACCGGAAGGACCGGGACUCCAGCCACGGCAAGCGGGAGCGGGACCGGGACCUGGACCGGGAACGGGACGGCAAGGAGCGCUCCAGCAGCAGAGAGCGCUCCGGCACCAAGAAGUCCAAACACGGGCGUGAAGGGCGCCGGCGGGUGGAGGAGGUGGUGGAGGAGGAGGAGGUGGAGCGCGACGGGCGGCCGUGGGAGCGGCGGCGGCGGCGCGACGGGCGCCCGGUGGUGCCGCCGUCCAUCCAGGACCUCAACGGCUCGGACCUCUUCGCCAUCAAGCGCACCAUCACGGUCACCACCACCGUCCCGGGCUCGCCGCCCGAGCCCGAGCCCGCCUCGCCCCCCAGCCCCGCCCCCGCCCGCGGCUCGGACCGCUCCCUGAAAAGGAAGAAGAAGAGGAAGCGGCGGCAGGCGGAGGAGGCGGCGGAGGGGGGCGGAGCCUACCGCAGCCGCUCGCGCUCGCCGCCGCGCUACCACAGCUACGACUCGGAUCACUACUCGGACAAGCUGGAGAUCGACCUGCGGUCGCUGGACGGCGAGGCGCUGGACUCGGACUACCCCUCUCUGGAGGACACGCCCCCCGCCGCCCUGCCCCCCGAGCCGCCGCUGCGCUCCCCCAAGGCCGGGCGCCACCACCCCAAGAAGAAGUCCCACGACGCCAAGUCGCGGGACAUCCCGGCCGAGUCGUCGGCCUCCUCCUCUUCUGCGGCGCGCACCAAGAGCAAAGGCCCCUCCCCGCCCCGGGCCC
ensembl:lncRNA